rnacentral:rRNA from 1 species
AACGAACGCUGGCGGCAUGCCUAACACAUGCAAGUCGAACGAGACCUUCGGGUCUAGUGGCGCACGGGUGCGUAACGCGUGGGAACCUGCCCUUAGGUUCGGAAUAACUCCCCGAAAGGGGUGCUAAUACCGGAUAAUGUCUUCGGACCAAAGAUCUAUCGCCUUUGGAUGGGCCCGCGUUGGAUUAGCUAGUUGGUAGGGUAAAAGCCUACCAAGGCGACGAUCCAUAGCUGGUCUGUGAGGAUGAUCAGCCACACUGGGACUGAGACACGGCCCAGACUCCUACGGGAGGCAGCAGUGGGGAAUAUUGGACAAUGGGCGGAAGCCUGAUCCAGCUAUGCCGCGUGAGUGAUGAAGGCCUUAGGGUUGUAAAGCUCUUUUACCCGGGAUGAUAAUGACAGUACCGGGAGAAUAAGCUCCGGCUAACUCCGUG